GAUGUCUACUCUGACUUUGGAUGUCUCCAGAAUACCCCAGGAGUGUCUACUCUCACCCUUGAUGUCUCCCUAGUCCCCCACAUUACUUCUCUUACCAGAGAUGUCUCUCUAUUCCCUAGCUUUGGGGACAAGGAUGGGAUCCAAAGGAGAUUGCUGAUGACUUUGGGGACAACAAGAUAUGCAGGUGUUAGUAUCUGCUGAACCAUUUGACUUCUCUGUCUUUCUCGCCAUUUCCGAGGACCAUGGUUCCCAGUGACCCAGAUGGGACCUGCUGGGACACCCACCCCACUUGCUCUGGAGCCUGCAGACAGGAUCCAGGGAAAACUGGCAGAAGUUGGCAAAGGAUUCACCCUGAGCUGACAUCUGUUGCCAAUCUUCAUCUUUUUGCUUGAGGAAGAUUUGCCCUGAGCUAACAUCUUGUGUCAGUCUUUCUCUGUUUUGUAUGUGUGUUGCUGCCACAGCAUGGCGGCUGAUGAGUGGUGUAGGUUUGUGCCUGGGAACUGAACGCAGGCCACCGAAGCAGACUGUGCUGAACUUAACCACCAGGCCAUGGGGCUCGCCCCACAAAUUGAGUUUUUACAAGGACAGAAAUGUAGCUCUGGAAACAAUUUGAAACCUACAUAUCAUCUUUACCAAUCCUGAAACUUCCCCUAUUCAUAUCAAAAGCCUUGUAGAUAUUGCUAAAGAUCUGGACUUCGGAAACAAAAGUCCUUCUUGGAGAAACUUUCAUUGUUUCUCUGUGGCUUUGAGAUGUAAACGUUCCUCCUAGAGGGAAGGAAACCAGAGCUAUCUCUUUGAGAUGCAAACUUCAGGGAGGGAGAUUUUAUCAGGACCAAAAAAAAAGAGAAAAGAAAGGCUAUUCGGAAACUAGGCCUAUGAAAAAUAUUGUCUUCUCCACAAAUAUUAGUGAAAAGUUUAAACCGUCUGAGUAGGUAACCUUAACUUAUUCCAUCUGCCAGAAACACAAUCUGUAUCCAGCUGUUCUUUUAUAAACUAGUGUGUUUUGCAUUAUUGUAUCUGUCUCAUGGGUAAAAUUUUAAAAUGAAAGCUAUAAGAUCUCUGUUUGCAUCUGUUUAUUUCUCUCUCUCUCUAUAUAUGCAUAUUAUAGAUGUGUGAUGUUUCUACUUCUGGAUUGUAUUGCCAAAAUUUAUAAAAAGAUUUAUUUAAUUGGCUUAAAUAAGUGCUUGUAUAAAUUAAGUAUACUCUCAGAAACAUGGAAACUAAUCCAAAUGUUUUUUAAGUUCAUGUGAUUGAGGAUAAUCUUCCAUAAAUAAAAGCUAGUUUAAGUUUGUUGGUUUAAUUAAAACAGGCAUGUCUUCAGAGUUAUCAAUAUUAAAUAUAAUGUGGACAUACAACUUUUAUUCUACAUAAGUUCACUAAAAAAAUAAACUCAUUAUCGCUGUUACAGAAUUUGUCAGCAAGAAAAAGAUGAUGGUUAGCUGUUUAAUGUCUCAUGGAAUUUUCAUGAGUAAGCUAAACAUAAUGGUUAAGAACAAACAAAUAGAUGUAAGAAAAGUUUAUAAAUGAACUUUUCAAUAAUUAUGAUUUAUGGAAUGUAUACUUAAAAAUAGUUUCCAAAACCUUUUUAGUAACUUGAAACCUUAAAGUUAUACUGAAUUGAGUUAAAUGAUGGAUAUCAUUCAAUAUCUAGAUGAUUUAUGAAUAAGAAAAAAUACUGAAACAUUAAUUACUGAACACAGUUUUAUUUACUUUUGGCUUCUUAUUACAGAGGAACUAAAAAUAUUUGGGUCUAUUAGUAAACGUGUUUUGUGCCUUAUUGAAAUUUUACUCUGAGGAAGACUGUACUUCUAGAAAUUAUUAAAUGUAUUUAUCAUAGUGUAACAGACAGUCCAGAAUUGUUUACUUUGUAGUUUUAACUAGAAGUUAAAGAUUCUAAGGUUAAGAAUUCUAAUCAAUAUAUGUAAUUAAAACUACUUAGAAAUAAUAAAGAUGAAAAGAAACAAGUGUGUAUGAAAAGUAGAUAAGGAAAGUAGAAUGUGUUUUUGGAUAAGGAAAGGUGAAGGACGUGUUUUUUUGUUAAGGAAAAAAGAGAGUACUUUUAUCCUAAAGUAGAAUGACUGGUUGUUCC
ensembl:lncRNA